AAUAUUGCAACGGACGGUUCAUUGCUUCAUUAAUGAAAAUAGAAAAGUUCAUUGCUUAUAUAUUUGCUUCAUUAAUGAAAAAAUUGCAACGGAAGGGAGGAAAAAAUGACUCGAAUAGGGGAGGGGAAACGUUGAGGCGGUUUGGUUUAGAGAUUUAGAGACGUGGAUUGGUUUAAAAGAAGAUUAGUGAAAGUGAAGGAAAAAUUGCCACGUGGCAAAAGCUAUUGGGGAUUCAUAUAGUUUAAUAGAUAUAU
rnacentral:lncRNA from 1 species